rfam:Aedes albopictus isolate Foshan contig212359, whole genome shotgun sequence.
GUCAACGAUCAUACCAUGUUGAAAACACCAGUUCUCGUCCGAUCACUGAAGUUAAGCAACAUCGGGCGCGAU